CACGUAGGGCGCAAGCGUUGUCCGGAAUUAUUGGGCGUAAAGAGCUCGUAGGCGGUCUGUUACGUCUGCUGUGAAAACCCGGGGCUUAACCCUGGGCUUGCAGUGGAUACGGGCAGACUAGAGGCAGGUAGGGGGAGAAUGGAAUUCCCGGUGUAGCGGUGAAAUGCGCAGAUAUCGGGAGGAACACCGGUGGCGAAGGCGGUUCUCUGGGCCUGACCUGACGCUGAGGAGCGAAAGCGUGGGGAGCGAACAGG
rnacentral:rRNA from 1 species